UACGGGGGGGGGCAAGCGUUGUUCGGAAUUACUGGGCGUAAAGGGCUCGUAGGUGGCCAACUAAGUCAGACGUGAAAUCCCUCAGCUUAACUGGGGAACUGCGUCUGAUACUGGAUGGCUUGAGUUUGGGAGAGGGAUGCGGAAUUCCAGGUGUAGCGGUGAAAUGCGCAGAUAUCAGGAGGAACACCGGUGGCGAAGGCGGGUCUCUGGGCCGAAAUUGACGCUGAGGAGCGAAAGCGUGGGGAGCAAACAGG
rnacentral:rRNA from 1 species